rnacentral:tRNA from 1 species
AAGGUCUUGGCUUAAUUAAAGUAUUUGUUUUGCAUACAGAAGAUGUGGGGUAACAUCCCGCAGAUCUUA